AUUCCAGCUCCAAGAGCGUAUAUUCAAGUUGCUGCAAUUAAAAAGCUCGUAGUUGGGUGGGGAAUGAAAGGAGGAAGGAGAAGGGGAACCGGAUCUGGAAUCUUUUUGUUCAUUUAUGAAGAGUAGCUUGCUAGAUGGCCUUAACUGGUCGUUUAGUAUAGCCUCUUCCGUUGACCGUGCUUAAAUUCGCGUGUUCAAAGCAAGCGUUUCGCUUGAAGAGUCUAGCAUGGGAUCAUAAAAUAUGAAGUACAUUUCAUUGUCUGUCUCUGAAGUGGACUUAAUGACAAGUAGGGGUAAGCGGGGGCGGAGGGAUUCCGUUGUUAGAGGUGAAAUUCUUAGACCAACGGAGGACCAACAGAAGCCAAAGCGUCCGUCAAGGGUAUUCUCAUUG
rnacentral:rRNA from 1 species